GGCCGGGAGCCAUCCGGGGGGAAGCGUUUAGGCGACGGCCGCCGCGGGCGGGCUGAGGAAGGCGGCGGUGCGGUGGCUGCUACUUCAGGGAAGGCUGGUGAGGAAAUGCAGUGAGCAGUGCACUUGUCUCAGACGCUUGUUUCUGUUGCACGCUAUGUGUCUGGGACCUGUGGGAUUUAAGAAUAUCUCUCCUCUAAGAAAAUUUGCUGCUUCUACAGCCUUCCAUCUUAGUGGGCAAUUGAUGAUUUCACUUGAAAUACUUAUCUGAAGAAAUUAACAGUAGGCAA
rnacentral:lncRNA from 1 species